GCGAUUAUUCGCACCAUUCAAACAAUGGUGGGAUAGCGUUUGUUUUGCAGUAGCUAAAACCCGCCCUCGAGGCGGUUUUU
rnacentral:sRNA from 1 species